CACAGAAGAGAAUUCACAAGAGGCAUAAUCCAAAGAGCUCGGGGGAAUAACGUGACAAACAUGGCAUGCAUGAAGUGAGGAACCAGGGGAGAAUAAUUAGAACAACCAGGUAUAUAAGCAGGUGGAGGAGAGUGGAUGAAUGAGAGGAAGCCAAGGUAAUCAGAGGAGAAGUAGGAACAGGUGCGGGAACUGGCUGUGGAGACUGAGGGAAUGAAUGGUUACUAUGGUGACCGGACUGGGAGACGCAGGGACACUACCGAAACUAAACUAUAAAAUAAACCAAGGGGAAACAUGAUCUAAAGAUAAACUAACAUUAACUCACAAGGAGGAGCAGGGUGUCGGGGUCUGGGAGAUUCUGUUUGUUUUUUGCCUGCUAUUUACAUUGCUUUACCGCUAGAUGCUGCCUGAGCUCCGGGGGUGAGAGGGAGACAGGUGUUUACAAUCUUCGUCAUUUGGAGGAGUAUAAGAGAGCAGUCUGCCAGCACUUCUAUGCCUGAGUGUUUGCCAACUUGGGCGCUGCUUCCAGUCCUGCUCUGAUUCAACUGUUUCCUCAUCUGACUUCCCAAGCCUCAAGAUCUCAAGAAAGCCUCUGGAUUCCUUUCCAGUUGGCAGUCACUAGCUCUCCUACCUCCAAGCCUUAAGUCAAGCGAGCCCUGUCCACACUCCAACGUGUCUCACCUCCAAGCUCGGCAUCUGAAAUCCACUUCCGCAGUGAGUGUGCUGUUUCCAGAGAAACCCCACCACUGUACACAGACUGUAGGAUCAAGAAGGAAAAUUAUUCCAGGCAAAUCUCCGUGCUCAUCUUCAGACCCUGCUUCGACUCCUCCUUGCCAAAUUUCCCAUCCAAACUCAUGGAUGUGUUUCCAGUCCCGGUUCCAGUUCACAAUCUCCAUCUGUGAAAAUAAAAU